rnacentral:rRNA from 1 species
UACAGAGGGUGCAAGCGUUGUUCGGAAUUACUGGGCGUAAAGCGUGCGUAGUCGGUAUUGAGAGUCACGGGUGAAAUCCCAGGGCUUAACCCUGGAACUGCCUGUGAGACCUCAGUACUAGAGUGUGAGAGGGGAUAGUGGAAUACCCAGUGUAGCGGUGAAAUGCGUAGAGAUCCGGAAGAACACCGGUGGCGAAGGCGGCCUGCUGGGCAGUUGCUGACACUGAGGCGCGACAGCGUGGGGAGCAAACAGG